rnacentral:rRNA from 1 species
UAUUCCCCACUGCUGCCUCCCGUAGGAGUCUGGUCCGUGUCUCAGUACCAGUGUGGGGGACCUUCCUCUCAGAACCCCUACGCAUCGUCGCCUUGGUGGGCCGUUGCCCCGCCAACCAGCUAAUGCGCCGCAUGCCCAUCCCGGACCGACGGAUCUUUCACCCACUGACCAUGCGAUCAAUGGGCAUAUGGGGUAUUAGGCCCAGUUUCCCGGGUUUAUCCCCCUGUCCGGGGCAGGUCGCAUACGUGUUACUCACCAGUGCGCCGGUCGCCGCCAGUAGUAUUGCUACCACCGCGCUGCCCCUCGACUUGCAUGUGUUAAGCCUGCCGCCAGCGUUCAUCCUGAGCCAA